rnacentral:rRNA from 1 species
AGAGUUUGAUCAUGGCUCAGAUUGAACGCUGGCGGCAGGCCUAACACAUGCAAGUCGAGCGGUAGAGAGGUGCUUGCACCUCUUGAGAGCGGCGGACGGGUGAGUAAAGCCUAGGAAUCUGCCUGGUAGUGGGGGAUAACGCUCGGAAACGGACGCUAAUACCGCAUACGUCCUACGGGAGAAAGCAGGGGACCUUCGGGCCUUGCGCUAUCAGAUGAGCCUAGGUCGGAUUAGCUAGUUGGUGAGGUAAUGGCUCACCAAGGCGACGAUCCGUAACUGGUCUGAGAGGAUGAUCAGUCACACUGGAACUGAGACACGGUCCAGACUCCUACGGGAGGCAGCAGUGGGGAAUAUUGGACAAUGGGCGAAAGCCUGAUCCAGCCAUGCCGCGUGUGUGAAGAAGGUCUUCGGAUUGUAAAGCACUUUAAGUUGGGAGGAAGGGCAUUAACCUAAUACGUUAGUGUUUUGACGUUACCGACAGAAUAAGCACCGGCUAACUCUGUGCCAGCAGCCGCGGUAAUACAGAGGGUGCAAGCGUUAAUCGGAAUUACUGGGCGUAAAGCGCGCGUAGGUGGUUCGUUAAGUUGGAUGUGAAAUCCCCGGGCUCAACCUGGGAACUGCAUUCAAAACUGUCGAGCUAGAGUA